CCGCCGCCGCCUGAACUCAUAGGGCGCGCGGAGGCAACCUGGGGAACUGAAACAUCUAAGUACCCAGAGGAAGAGAAAUCAACCGAGAUUCCCCCAGUAGCGGCGAGCGAACGGGGAUGAGGCCAAACCGGCGGGCGCUUCGGCCCCGCCGGGGUUGUAGGGCCGGUCACGCGGCAGUGACAAACCGGCGGGGGAGCGGAAGGGCCUGGGAAGGCCCGCGAGACAGGGUUAGAGCCCCGUACGCGAACCCCCGCCGGCUGCCGACCGGACCCUGAGUACCGCCGGACACGUGAAACCCGGUGGGAAGCUGGGGGGACCACCCUCCAAGCCUAAAUACUCUCCUGUGACCGAUAGUGGACGAGUACCGUGAGGGAAAGGUGAAAAGCACCCCGGGAGGGGAGUGAAAUAGUACCUGAAACCGUGCGCGCACAAGCAGUCGGAGCGGCCCCUCGGGGCCGUGACGGCGUGCCUUUUGUAGAAUGAGCCAGCGAGUUACGGCGUGUGGCGAGGUCAAGCCACGAAGCGAGCCGCAGCGACAGCGAGUCCCAACCGGGCGCACAGUCGCACGCCGUAGACGCGAAGCCGGGUGAGCUAUCCACGGGCAGGCUGAAACGGGGGUAAGACCCCGCGGAGGGCCGAACCCACCUAGGUUGAAAACUGGGGGGAUGACCCGCGGAUAGGGGUGAAAGGCCUAUCAAACCCGGAGAUAUCUCGUUCUCCCCGAAAUAGCUUUAGGGCUAGCCUCGGACGCUUACCUGCGGAGGUAGAGCACCGGAUGGGCGCGGGGGCCUCACCGCCUACCAAACCCAACCGAACUCCGAAUGCCGCAGGUCCGGAGUCCGGGAGUCAGAGCGCGUGGGCUAAGCCGCGCGCUCGAGAGGGAAACAGCCCAGACCGCCCGCUAAGGUCCCCAAAUCCAUGCCGAGUGGCAAAGGAUGUGCGUUUGCUCAGACAACCAGGAUGUUGGCUUAGAAGCAGCCACCCAUUCAAAGAGUGCGUAACAGCUCACUGGUCGAGUGGACAUGCGCCGACAAUAUACGGGGCUAAGCAUGGUACCGAAGCGGCGGACUGAUCUAUCAGUGGUAGGGGAGCUUUCCGUCCGGGGGGAAGCCGCGGGACGACCCGCGGUGGACCGGCCGGAAGUGAGAAUGCUGGCAUGAGUAACGAGAGGGGCGUGGGAAACGCCCCCGCCGUAAACCCAAGGUUUCCUGGGCGAGGCUAAUCCUCCCAGGGUCAGUCGGGAGCUAAGGCGAGGCCGGAAGGCGUAGCCGAUGCGCAGCAGGUGGACAUUCCUGCACCUCCGACGCGGCGCUUGACCGACGGGGUGACGAAGAAGGGUAGCUCAGCGGGGUUCUGGACGUCCCCGUGAGGCCGCGUAGGCCGGGGGGUGGCGAAGUGCGCCCCCC
rnacentral:ncRNA from 1 species